AAGGAAUGAUAAUGUUCUGAUAGUCAAGUUGGUGAAGAAGGUACAUGAAGAAUCUUCUAAGGUGAAUUGCAAUGUUGCAUAAUUGGAAUAGCAGGUUAGUACCAUAAUGUUAUAUGAUAUGGAGGAUGUGUUGGUAGAAGCCAAUCACUUAAUUAGAAAUGUAUAAGUGUUGGAGCUAACAAUCAAGUUAGAACUAAGAAAUAAAAACAAGUUAAAGUUAAUAUUG
rnacentral:misc_RNA from 1 species